rnacentral:rRNA from 1 species
CGUCUAUAUACGUAUAGCAUAUCAAUAAGCGGAGGAAAAGAAACUAACAAGGAUUCCCUUAGUAACGGCGAGUGAAGCGGGAAGAGCUCAAAUUUGAAAUCUUCAAGGUUCUACCUUGACGAAUUGUGGUUUAUAGAAGUGUUUUUCUGUUAGUGGAGUGGCAAAAGUUCUUUGGAAUAGGACAUCAUAGAGGGUGAGAAUCCCGUAUUUGGUCAUUCCUCCUAGCGUUGUGAUACACUUUCAACGAGUCGGAUUGUUUGGGAAUGCAGUCCAAAAUGGGUGGUAAAUUUCAUCUAAAGCUAAAUAUUGGCGAGAGACCGAUAGCGAACAAGUACCGUGAGGGAAAGAUGAAAAGAACUUUGAAAAGAGAGUUAAACAGUACGUGAAAUUGUCAAAAGGGAAGCGUUUGACACCAGUGUUGUUUUUCCGAAAAUCAAUUACGAAUGUUUUAUUUUUGAGGAGUUAUGACUUCAUCGGCUUGCUCCUUUCUUUAUGAAACUUUCUUAAUGCACUUUUCGGUUAACAAGUCAACAUCAAUUUCUUUUGUUGUAAAAGGGUAUGAGGAAGGUGGCUUUCUUUUCGGAGAAAGUGUUUAUAGCCUUGUGCCUCUGCAAUCGGAGAGAUUGAGGUCUGCAGCGUAGAUCCUUCGGGGUUAGAUACGUUUGUGCUAAGUUAUAGCUUUUCAUAGACAACUUGUUGACUAUGUUUAGUCUUGUAGCUUACUCGCUGACGCUAUUUUACCUACGCUUAGGAUGUUGACGAGACUGUCGAUCUC